rnacentral:rRNA from 1 species
UGCCAGUGAUAAACUGGAGGAAGGUGGGGAUGACGUCAAGUCAUCAUGGCCCUUACGACCAGGGCUACACACGUGCUACAAUGGCAUAUACAAAGAGAAGCGACCUCGCGAGAGCAAGCGGACCUCAUAAAGUAUGUCGUAGUCCGGAUUGGAGUCUGCAACUCGACUCCAUGAAGUCGGAAUCGCUAGUAAUCGUAGAUCAGAAUGCUACGGUGAAUACGUUCCCGGGCCUUGUACACACCGCCCGUCACACCAUGGGAGUGGGUUGCAAAAGAAGUAGGUAGCUUAACCUUCGGGAGGGCGCUUACCACUUUGUGAUUCAUGACUGGGGUGAAGUCGUAACAAG